UACGAAGGGUGCAAGCGUUACUCGGAAUUACUGGGCGUAAAGGGUGCGUAGGCGGCGCGGUAAGUCGGGUGUGAAAUCUCGGAGCUUAACUCCGAAACUGCAUUCGAUACUGCCGUGCUUGAGGACUGGAGAGGAGACUGGAAUUUACGGUGUAGCGGUGAAAUGCGUAGAUAUCGUAAGGAAGGCCAGUGGCGAAGGCGGGUCUCUGGACAGUUCCUGACGCUGAGGCACGAAGGUCAGGGGAGCAAACGGG
rnacentral:rRNA from 1 species